rnacentral:rRNA from 1 species
AUUACUCCUACGGGAGGCAGCAGCAAGGAAUUUUCCGCAAUGGGCGAAAGCCUGACGGAGCAACGCCGCGUGGGGGAGGACGCUUUUCGGAGUGUAAACCUCUUUUCUUGGGGACGACGAACGACGGUACCCGAGGAAUAAGGACCGGCUAACUACGUGCCAGCAGCCGCGGUAAUAAU